rnacentral:rRNA from 1 species
GCUGGCGGCAUGCCUAACACAUGCAAGUCGAACGGAAACGAUGGAAGCUUGCUUCCGGCGUCGAGUGGCGGACGGGUGAGUAACACUUAGGAAUCUGCCCAGUAGUGGGGGACAACUCGAGGAAACUCGAGCUAAUACCGCAUACGCACUACGGUGGAAAGUGGGGGAUCGUCUCAAUAAGAGCCUUCGAGGCUCGAAGAACGAUUGUUCGUAAGAACCUUUAGGGUUUUUAUUGGGACGACCUCACGCUAUUGGAUGAGCCUAAGUCGGAUUAGCUUGUUGGUGAGGUAAAAGCUCACCAAGGCGACGAUCCGUAGCUGGUCUGAGAGGACGAUCAG